rnacentral:rRNA from 1 species
CAUAGCGACUAUCGUGGCAUAUCAAUAAGCGGAGGAAAAGAAACUAACUAGGAUUCCCUUAGUAACGGCGAGUGAAGCGGGAAGAGCUCAAAUUUGAAAUCUUCAAGGUUUUACCUUGACGAAUUGUAGUUUAUAGAAGUGUUUUCUGUAGUGGAGUUUGGUAAAAGUUCUUUGGAAUAGGACAUCAUAGAGGGUGAGAAUCCCGUAUUUGGAUCCAUUAUUUCCAGCUGUGUGAUACACUUUCAAAGAGUCGGAUUGUUUGGGAAUGCAGUCCAAAAUGGGUGGUAAAUUUCAUCUAAAGCUAAAUAUUGGCGAGAGACCGAUAGCGAACAAGUACCGUGAGGGAAAGAUGAAAAGAACUUUGAAAAGAGAGUUAAACAGUACGUGAAAUUGUCAAAAGGGAAGCGUUUGACACCAGUGUUGUUUUCUCGAAAAUCAAUUAAAGAAUUGAUUUUGUGUUGGAGUAUGACUUAUCAGGCUUCUGCACUCUUUCUUACGUAACUUUUUAAUGCACUUUUCGGUUAACAAGUCAACAUCAAUUUCUUUUGUUGUAAAAGAGUCAUUGAGGAAGGUGGCUUUCUUUUCGGAGAAAGUGUUUAUAGCCUUGUGCCUCUGCAAUCGGAGAGAUUGAGGUCUGCAGCGUAGAUCCUUCGGGGUUAGAUACAGUUUGUGCUAAGUUAUAGCUUUUUCAUAGACAACUUGUUGACUAUAUUUAGUCUUGUAGCUUACUCGCUUAUGCUAUUUUACCUACGCUUAGGAUGUUGACGAGACUGUCGAUCUC